rnacentral:misc_RNA from 1 species
ACAGAUGAAGCGGAUUAUCAGGUUAAACUACGCAACCUAAUUCGCUUCUUAGAAGAGGGCAAUAAGGCUAAGGUAACUCUGCGCUAUCGCGGUCGCGAAAUGGCUCAUCAGUCCUUAGGUUUAGAUGUUCUCAAACGUGUAGAGAAAGAUCUAUGCGAAGAUAGAGGCAUUGCCAGUGUAGAGUCUGCAUCACGUGUUGAAGGCAGACAGGCUACUAUGGUUUUAGCCCCUAAAAAGAAAUAGUUACAGGGUUACAAAGUCCUAGUAAUAGGCUCCUGUAUCGUGUUUAUAUAUAUGCAAUAAUGCGGAGUAUACAAUGGCUGGAAAA